GACGAACGCUGGCGGCGUGCUUAACACACGCAAGUCGAACGAUGAAGCCUAGCUUGCUAGGUGGAUUAGUGGCGAACGGGUGAGUAAUACGUGAGUAACCUACCUUUAACUCUGGGAUAAGCCUGGGAAACUGGGUCUAAUACCGGAUACGACCAAUCUCCGCAUGGGGUGUUGGUGGAAAGCGUUAUGUAGUGGUUAUAGAUGGGCUCACGGCCUAUCAGCUUGUUGGUGAGGUAACGGCUCACCAAGGCGACGACGGGUAGCCGGCCUGAGAGGGUGACCGGCCACACUGGGACUGAGACACGGCCCAGACUCCUACGGGAGGCAGCAGUGGGGAAUAUUGCACAAUGGGCGCAAGCCUGAUGCAGCGACGCCGCGUGAGGGAUGACGGCCUUCGGGUUGUAAACCUCUGUUAGCAGGGAAGAAGAGAGAUUGACGGUACCUGCAGAGAAAGCGCCGGCUAACUACGUGCCAGCAGCCGCGGUAAUACGUAGGGCGCGAGCGUUGUCCGGAAUUAUUGGGCGUAAAGAGCUUGUAGGCGGUUUGUCGCGUCUGCUGUGAAAGGCCGGAGCUUAACUCCGUGUAUUGCAGUGGGUACGGGCAGACUAGAGUGCAGUAGGGGAGACUGGAAUUCCUGGUGUAGCGGUGGAAUGCGCAGAUAUCAGGAGGAACACCGAUGGCGAAGGCAGGUCUCUGGGCCGUAACUGACGCUGAGAAGCGAAAGCAUGGGGAGCGAACAGG
rnacentral:rRNA from 1 species